CAACAACGCUACAUGAUGUCUAUUCACAUUAUUCCAGUGUCGAUCAAGUACUAGACUAAAAUUAGUACUAGAACGGGGCUGGGUCGAUGUGGGUGUGAUGCUACUCCUUAUUAACAC
rnacentral:precursor_RNA from 12 species